AUUGAACGCUGGCGGCAUGCCUUACACAUGCAAGUCGAACGGCAGCGGGGGUGCUUGCACCCGCCGGCGAGUGGCGAACGGGUGAGUAAUGCAUCGGAACGUACCCCGUCGUGGGGGAUAACGCAGCGAAAGUUGUGCUAAUACCACAUACGCACCGAGGUGGAAAGCAGGGGACCUUCUGGCCUUGUUCGAUUGGAGCGGCCGAUGUCAGAUUAGCUAGUUGGUAGGGGAAAAGCCUACCAAGGCAACGAUCUGUAGCGGGUCUGUGCGGAUGAUCCGGCACACUGGCACUGAGACACGGUCCAGAGUAAUACGGGAGGCAGCAGUGGGGAAUUUUGGAAGAUGGGGGCAACGCUGAUCCAGGCAAGCCGCGUGAGUGAAGAAGGCCUUCGGGUGGUAAAGCUCUUUCGGCCGGGAAAAAAGCGGGCAGGCUAAUAUCCUGUCUGGAUGAUGGUACCGGAAUAAGAAGCACCGGCUAACUACGUGCCAGCCGCCGCAGUAACAC
rnacentral:rRNA from 1 species